GAGCUUGCUCCUUCUGAUCAGUGGCGAACGGGUGAGUAACACGUGAGUAACCUGCCCCAGACUCUGGAAUAACAGUUGGAAACAGCUGCUAAUACCGGAUACGAGACGGAGAGGCAUCUCUACCGUCUGGAAAGUUUUUCGGUCUGGGAUGGACUCGCGGCCUAUCAGCUUGUUGGUGAGGUAGUGGCUCACCAAGGCUAUGACGGGUAGCUGGUCUGAGAGGAUGACCAGCCAGAGGGAAACUGAGGCACGGUUCCCACUCCUACGGGAGGCAGCAGUAAAGAAUCUUCCGCAAUGGACGAAAGCCUGACGGAGCGACGCCGCGUGCAGGAUGACGGCCUUCGGGUUGUAAACUGCUUUUCUGAGAGAAUAAUUCUGAAGGUAUCUCAGGAAUAAGCACCGGCAAAUCUCGUGCCAGCAGCCGCGGUAAUACGAGAGGUGCAAACGUUAUCCGGAAUCAUUGGGCGUAAAGCGUCCGCAGGUGGCGCAGAAAGUAGGGUAUUAAAUCUUGAGGCUCAACUUCAAGGCUGUGCCCUAAACUUCUGUGCUAGAGAUGAGGAGAGGUGAAUGGAAUUCUACAUGUAGGGGUAAAAUCCGUAGAUAUGUAGAGGAACACCAAAAGCGAAGGCAGUUCACUGGCCUCCAUCUGACACUCAUGGACGAAAGCGUGGGUAGCGAACGGGAUUAGAUACCCCGGUAGUCCACGCCGUAAACGAUGAUCACUCGGUGUUGGGAGUUCGACCCUCUCAGUGCCUAAGUUAACACGAUAAGUGACCCGCCUGAGUAGUACGAUCGCAAGAUUAAAACUCAAAGGAAUAGACGGGGACCCACACAAGCGGUGGAGCGUGUG
rnacentral:rRNA from 1 species